rnacentral:rRNA from 1 species
UCGGGAAUUUUGGGCAAUGGGCGAAAGCCUGACCCAGCAACGCCGCGUGAAGGAUGAAGUAUUUCGGUAUGUAAACUUCGAAAGAAUAGGAAGAAUAAAUGACGGUACUAUUUGUAAGGUCCGGCUAACUACGUGCCAGCAGCCGCGGUAAUACGUAGGGACCAAGCGUUGUUCGGAUUUACUGGGCGUAAAGGGUGCGUAGGCGGCAUAUCAAGUCACUUGUGAAAUCUCCGGGCUUAACUCGGAACUGCCAAGUGAUACUGAUGUGCUAGAGUGCAGAAAGGGCAACUGGAAUUCUUGGUGUAGCGGUGAAAUGCGUAGAUAUCAAGAGGAACACCUGAGGCGAAGGCGAGUUGCUAGGCUGACACUGACGCUGAGGUACGAAAGCU